UGUGAAGAUCAAAGGAGAAAAUUCAUCAAA
rnacentral:piRNA from 1 species